UUUCUGAUCUAUCACAGACUAACACAGAUUUUGAAGGAAGAGAGACAAGGAUUGAAAUCCUAGCUCUGCCCCUGCAUGGGCUUGGAAUGUUCCUUCCCUUGCCCAGCCUCAGUUUCCACAUCUGCAAAGUGGCAACAGCCGUCCCCAGUCUCCAGGGAACGGUAUGCAAUCAAAGAGACAAUACGUGGAAGCCGCCAGCGCCAGAGCAGAGGCAGCCGUCACUAUUGUUGUUGUUGUUAUUAUUACUCUACCUGCCACCUUGGGAUCUCACGGCCCUCCUUACCCAUGGUCCUCCCAUGGAAGGCACCCAUGAAGGAGAGGAUGCUGUAGUCGGGGCACCCGGGGGCCUGGAACCAAGAAACAGCUGUCAGUCAGGGUUGUGACCUGGGGACCCACAUGGUGGCCCCCACGAACCUCGAGGAGUACGAAAGUCUCAGGAGAACCGGGAUCCCCUCUCAGGCAGAAGUUACAAACUGGACUCCAGAGGUCUGUAUCCAGCCCACACAUGGUGUUUUCUGUUUGUUUUUUAUCAAGAGAUUUCAUGAAAUAGAUAUCCUGAACCUCUGUCUUCUCACAAGUUCUGCACCACGUGGGCCCAUUUUUCUCGGUCAAGCCUGAAGGUGGGCGGGCACGCUGGCCCUCACCACCCACCUUUCUCCUUUCCAUCACUGGCAGGCGUCCGCAGGCUUUUCAAACUCCCCUGCCUCAGUCCCCCUGCCCCCCCGACUGCUCCCACAGCCCACAGAUGGGCCAGGUGCUGGUGGUGGUACCUGCCUCCUGUGACCUGAGGUUGAGCUGGGCCCCACACAGGACAUGCCCAGGCUUUGGAUGAGGUCUGCUGGGCCAGAGCGGGAGGGUGGGACACCCAGCUUUCCCUCUCCCCACGGGGCUGCCCCUGAGCUCAGGAGGGACUCAUGAACCCCAGUCUUCUUCCAGCCCCAAGCGAAUGGCACAGCAGCACUGCCUUCUGACCCUCCAGCUGGCAAGGGAAUCAGACCUGCCUCCAGUGACUCAGGAGCCGCUGGGGACACGGCAGAGGCCACCUUGGGGGCCCCUGAGUCUCUGGGAGGUUGUAUGGCAUUUUCUCAGGCCGGCUGAUCUCCACUGGGUCCCUGAGACCCCCAGGAAAAGCUCCAAGACCUCUUCCCACAAAUCCCAGAAUGCCCUCUUGUCAUAUGCCUUUGUUAGUCUCCAAAUGUGAUAUAUAGGGCGUAACUUGUUUUACUGCACUUCACAGAUGUUGCACUUUUUUACAGAUUGAAGGUUUGUGGCAACCCUGCAUGGAACAAGUCUUCUGGAGCCAUUUUCCAACGGCAUUUGCUCACUUCGUGUCUCUGUGUCACAUUUUGCCUACAAACCAGCGGAUGCCAUGGGUAAUCCAUCGCCCCAAGAAGCAUCGACCGUCCGAGCUACCAACAGCAGCCACCUGCACGUGCCAAUCAGCCCUGUCUGUCCCGUCUGCCACGUCCUCCUGCAGCAGCACAGCCUCGCUCUGGAUGGCCAGGAGGGGAGCCUGGGAAGUGUCUGGCUGCACACAAGGAUGCACAUCUUGGAAGGAGUGGCUGAAGUCUGGAGAGCCACAACUACACAGAGACAGAGGCUACAUUCAGGGACUGAUUUUCCAGCUCUUACCUAUGGGGACAGAGGAGAUCUGGGAAUAAAGAUCCAACAUCCGGUUGCCAUCCACGUCCACCAGGUAAUUGCCUCGGCUCUCUUCGUAAUUGCAGAAAAAGUGCACAGCUUCUGCAUUCUUGGGGAAAGGAGAGACUGGAUCAGGCUCACUGCAAUUCCUUAGACCCUCAGUCUUUCAGGAUUAAGCUUGAAUUGAUGAAGUAAGCCAUGUCCUGCCCAUUUAUGGACACAUGGAUGGUAUCUGUGGGUGCUGGCAGUGUUGGAUUUUUUGCCCUGCUGGUAAUUACA